UUUCAUGGACUCACAUGGUUAUUUGUAACUUUUACUAUAAGUCUUCGGAUAAAACAACUCUCGAGAGCAUGGAUGUGGUUCUUUUCGAUUCUCGUAUUUCUAGUUUCUGGUAUAUUAUGUGGUUUAUCGAUAUCUUAUGCGAUCGGCGUCAGAGAACUAUCCCUCAAGGCAAGUUUAGAUGUCAUAUCUUUUAUGGGAGCGGCUUUGCCGUUGUUAUGCACUUACAGUAGUGAAGGUGCUCAGAGAGACACAGUUGAAAGCCUUGAUGACCCUUUCAAUGGCCAGUUAACCCCAUUUGCUAAAGCUGGAUUCUGUAGUAAGAUAUCAUUUUGGUGGUUGAAUCCGCUGAUGAAAAAGGGUCAAGAAAAAACACUUCAAGACGAGGAUAUUCCAAAGUUACGAGAGUCUGAAAAAGCAGAAAGUUGUUAUUUGUCGUUUGAAGAACAAUUAAACAGACAAAGACAAAAUGAACUGUCGUCACAUUCGACAGUUUUUUGGACAAUAGUUUCAUGCCACCAAAGGGAGAUUUUGAUAACAGGAUUCUUUGCUUUGCUCAAAGUACUUUCUAUAUCUUGUGGCCCUCUACUUCUAAAUGAAUUUAUAUUGGUUUCUGAGGGUAAUGGAAGUUUCAAAUAUGAAGGUUAUAUCUUGGCCAUAUCACUCUUGUUCAUAAAGAUCAUAGAAUCCAUAUCACAAAGACAAUGGUAUUUCCGGGAUAGAAUUAUUGGGAUGAAAGUUAGAUCACUACUUACUGCAAAAAUUUAUAAAAAAGUAUUAAGGUUAUCCAAUUCUGCUAGAUUGAUUCACUCUAAUGGUGAGAUAAUGAAUUAUAUGACUGUGGAUGCUUAUAGAAUCGGAGAAUUUCCAUUUUGGUUUCAUAGGACUUGGACAACGAUUCUCCAAUUGUCCAUUGCAUCGGUAAUUCUUUUCCGUGCAAUUGGACUAGCAACAUUAGCAUCGCUACCGGUCAUAGUUCUCACCGUCUUUUGCAACGCUCCACUAGCAAAGUUACAACACAAGUUUCAUAGCAAACUUAUGGUGGCACAAGAUGAAAGAUUGAAAGCUAGUUCUGAAGCUCUAGUGAAUAUGAAAGUGCUAAAGCUAUAUGCAUGGGAAACUCAUUUUAAAAACGCGAUAGAAAAGUUAAGAAAUGCGGAACUGAAAUUGCUAUUUGCGGUUCUACUAAGAAAGACAUGUGUUGUCUUUCUCUUUUGGACCUCACCAAUGCUUGUAUCAGCUGCUUCUUUUCUAGCAUGCUACUUGCUGAAAAUUCCUUUGCAUGCAAGUAAUGUUUUCACUUUUGUCGCAACUUUACGCCUCGUACAAGAGCUGAUUACAAGCAUCCCAGAUGUUAUUGCAGUAUCCAUUCAAGCAAAAGUUGCAUUUGCUCGGAUCGGUAAUUUCCUCGAGGCACCAGAA
rnacentral:lncRNA from 1 species